rnacentral:misc_RNA from 1 species
CCAUUGGUAUGCAGAAAAUAUAUGAAAAGAACAAUAAUGUGCAUGUUCUUGUUUGUCUGGGAAGGAAGCUGCAUCUUGCUCAUGGAUGUAAAUAUUUUAUUGAAGUUCAUCAGAUUCGAAGGUUUUGGUCGGGGAUGAUCCAGCGAAACAAACAACCGAGAUAUGCAAAUCCAGUUGCAGACUCAAACCCACUUAAGGAAUUGAACUUCACCUGAAGAGAUUAUUAGUUAGGAAUGGGUGGCGUCUCCUGUCAGCUAAUUGGUUUUCAUCACCUCGGCCACGUAGCGGUGCACGAUGGCGGACAGUCAGAAAUCGGAGAGGGGUAGAUAGAGCCA